UGGCCGCGGGAUUCAGCAGCCGCGGUAAUACGUAGGUGGCAAGCGUUGUCCGGAAUUAUUGGGCGUAAAGCGCGCGCAGGCGGUCCUUUAAGUCUGAUGUGAAAGCCCACGGCUCAACCGUGGAGGGUCAUUGGAAACUGGGGGACUUGAGUGCAGAAGAGGAAAGCGGAAUUCCACGUGUAGCGGUGAAAUGCGUAGAGAUGUGGAGGAACACCAGUGGCGAAGGCGGCUUUCUGGUCUGUAACUGACGCUGAGGCGCGAAAGCGUGGGGAGCAAACAGGAUUAGAUACCCUGGUAGUCCACGCCGUAAACGAUGAGUGCUAAGUGUUAGAGGGUUUCCGCCCUUUAGUGCUGCAGCUAACGCAUUAAGCACUCCGCCUGGGGAGUACGGCCGCAAGGCUGAAACUCAAAGGAAUUGACGG
rnacentral:rRNA from 1 species